CAACGGCGCUUGAUCACGCCGCUGUUCGAAGAAGGCCCGUCCCCCGCCUCUUCGGACAAAAGGACAAAGGCUCCAUCCCCCUCUCCGGCCUUUGUCCCAAAAAGCAGCCGCCAUGGUCAGUCCCCCCCUCCAGGCCAUGGCGGCUUUUU
rnacentral:sRNA from 1 species